GCGUACGCUCGCCAAAUGUAAAGAAACAAACUAUACUCCAUGCUUUAGGGGGGUGAGUGUAACAGAAGCCAGCUAUGUGAAAGCUGUGCAGUGAGUAAACCUCUUCCCCUGACCUCAAAAUAAAUACAAAUCUCAAGACUGCAGCAUCGGAAUUAAUUUCAUUAUAAAUAGAAAGAAUAUUAUCUUGUUUUAAAUUAUUUUACAUCUUCCAGAUCACACUGGCACUGGGGUCAACAAUAGUCAAAAUGACCAGCAACUGAAUAAAGUGAUUAUUGCAGUAAUUGCUGUAGUAGUUUUUCUCUUUGCUGUUGCCCUUCUUCUGGUGAUUUGGAAAAAAAGAGCAAACAGAAGACAAGCUAAUAACUCUAUGGUCACAGAUGAAGAUGACAAAAAUGGAAAAAAUGACACAAUUGACAUUUCCAUUUCUCUUGAUCAGAAAGAUGAUGUGACUUAUUCAGAGGUGAUCACGUCCAGUAAAACACAAGCUAUAAAAAACAAUGUUCCUUCUGCUGAUAAUGUGACUUAUGCUGCCAUAAGAUGAGAAAAAGUUGAAGUCUAAGACAACAGCAGAGAGCUUUAUGCCUUUGUUAACAAAACUCCUCGCAAAUAAACAAAAAAAGUCAAACUUAAAAAGUGGGUUUUAGUCAAUCGCAUUGUAAAUAUUAAAAAUGUAAGUUGUUUAAAAAUACAAAUUUGAUUGGUGAUUUUGUUGUGGUUUAACAUGGCUUGUUUAGUGGUAGCUUGUCUACUUGCUGAUUAUUGGAAGUGUCUAUUACACCGAUCUGACAAAUGUCCGCUAACACCCACUUUAUAACCUGAACUUUGGAUUUAGAA